rnacentral:miRNA from 1 species
UGUGUUAGAACUCAGGAUUGAGAUCAUUGUGAUCUAUCCAGGUUUCUAACACACC